rnacentral:rRNA from 1 species
AGAGCGCAAGGGGAAUGCCUUGGCACCAGGAGCCGACGAAGGACGCAGCAAUCUGCGAAAAGCCACGGGGAGCCGAAAGCAGGCAUCGAUCCGUGGAUGUCCGAAUGGGGAAACCCGGCUGAGUGAAGCUCAGUCAGCGUACACUGAAUCCAUAGGUGUGCGUGGGGAACCGCCUGAACUGAAACAUCUAAGUAGGGCGAGGAAAAGAAAUCAACCGAGAUUCCGCAAGUAGUGGCGAGCGAACGCGGAAGAGGCCAAACCGGCUGUAGAAAUAUGGCCGGGGUAAGGACAGCAAAAUGUAUGUUGGACCCUAGCAGAAGGGCAUGGGACGGCCCACCACAGAGAGUGAUAGUCUCGUAUGCGAAAGGGAAAAACAGCAAGCUGUAUCCAGAGUACCACUGGACACGUGAAACCCGGUGGGAAUGUGGGGGGACCACCCUCCAAGCCUAAAUACUCCCUGGUGACCGAUAGUGAAGAGUACUGUGAAGGAAAGGUGAAAAGAACCCCGGGAGGGGAGUGAAAAGAACCUGAAACCUUGUGCUUACAAGCACACAGAGCACGUCAAGGUGUGAUGUGGUACCUUUUGUAGAAUGGUCCGGCGAGUGAAUGUAACGAGCAAGGUUAAGCACUUUAGGUGUGGAGCCGAAGCGAAAGCAAGUCUGAAAAGGGCGAGAAGUUCGUUGUAUUCGACCCGAAACCGGGUGACCUAGCCAUGUCCAGGCUGAAGUGAAGGUAAAACUUCAUGGAGGGCCGAACCCACUCCCGUUGAAAUGGUAGGGGAUGAGGUGUGGCUAGCGGAGAAAUUCCAAUCGAACCCGGAGAUAGCUGGUUCUCUCCGAAAUAGCUUUAGGGCUAGCCUCGACUGAACAUUACCGGAGGUAAAGCACUGAAUGGGCUAGGGGCCGAGAGGUUACUGAACCCUAUCAAACUAAGAAUGCCGGAUAAUGAUAGUCGGGAGUCAGACAGUGUGAGAUAAGUUUCAUUGUCGAAAGGGAAACAGCCCAGACCCACAGCUAAGGUCCCAAAGUAUCGUUAAGUGGAAAAGGAUGUGGAACUGCCCAGACAACCAGGAUGUUGGCUCAGAAGCAGCCAUACAUUCAAAGAGUGCGUAAUAGCUCACUGGUCGAGUGGUUCUGCGCCGAAAAUUUAACGGGGCUAAACGAUACACCGAAGCUUGGGAUGCAGCAUUGGCUGCAUGGUAGGAGAGCGUUCUGUACGGGGUGAAGUCAUAGCGGAAGCGGUGGUGGACUGUACAGAAGAGAGAAUGCCGGAAUGAGUAGCGAGAUUUAUGUGAGAAUCAUAAAGGCCGAAAGACUAAGGAUUUAGAAGGAAGGUUCGUCCGCUUCUAGUUAGCCGGGAGCUAAGGCGAGGCCGAAAGGCGUAGUCGAUGCACAUACGGUGGAGAUUCCGUAGCCGCCUCUUAAUUUAAGCAAAGGGACACUUUCAAAGGGAAUGACCCGGGCGUUGGUAGCCCCGGGCGAAAGGGACCGAAAUUAGAGUAGGGAAGCAUUUCUGGAGGAAGGCGAGAAAAGCUUUGCGGAUAGAGAGAGGCGCCCGUACCGCAAACCGACACAGGUAGUCAGGAAGAGGAUUCUAAGGCCAACGGGAGAAGGGUAGUUAAGGAACUCGGCAAAUUGACCCCGUAACUUCGGAAUAAGGGGUGCUCCUGAAAAGGAGCCGCAGUGAAUAGGCCCAGGCGACUGUUUAUCAAAAACACAGCUCUCUGCUAAAUCGAAAGAUGAAGUAUAGGGGGUGACACCUGCCCGGUGCUGGAAGGUUAAGAGGAAGGGUGCAAGCUCUGAAUUGAAGCCCCAGUAAACGGCGGCCGUAACUAUAACGGUCCUAAGGUAGCGAAAUUCCUUGUCGGGUAAGUUCCGACCCGCACGAAUGGUGUAACGAUCUGGGCACUGUCUCAACUACCCACCCGGCGAAAUUGUAGUACCGGUGAAGAUGCCGGUUACCUGCGGCAAGACGGAAAGACCCCAUGGAGCUUUACUGUAGCCUGAUAUUGGGUUUCGGUAUUCUAUGUACAGGAUAGGCGGGAGACUGGGAACCGAUGGCGUCAGCUGUCGGGGAGUCACCCUUGGGAUACCGCUCUUAGAGUACUGGAAUUCUAACCUGCGGCCGUGAAUCCGGCCGGGGGACAUUGUCAGGUGGGCAGUUUGACUGGGGCGGUCGCCUCCAAAAAGGUAACGGAGGCGCUCA